rnacentral:rRNA from 1 species
CCUACGGGAGGCAGCAGUGAGGAAUAUUGGUCAAUGGGCGAGAGCCUAAACCAGCCAAGUCGCGUGAGGGAAGACGGUCCUAUGGAUUGUAAACCUCUUUUGUCGGGGAGAAAAAAGGCCUCGGGAGGCGACAAGGGAGAGUACCCGAAGAAAAAGCAGCGGCUCACUCCGUGCCAGCAGCCGCGGUAAUACGGAGGAUGCGAGCGUGAGCCGGAUUUAUUGGGUUGAAAGGGUGCGUAGGCGGACUGGAAAGUCAGCGGUAAAAUCCCGAGGCUCAACUUCGGAAUUGCCUCUGAUACUGUUCGGCUAGAGCGUAGUUGCGGUCGGCGGAAUGUCUUUUGUAGCGGUUAAAUGCUU